rnacentral:lncRNA from 1 species
AGGGCACCCCGGGAGAGAGAUCACGCAACGACACACUCCCGGGGCUCGGUUCCCAGGGGCAGUGCACCCCUGGGAGCCAGAGCCACGGAAAAUUCCCGGGUGGGCACAGAGGGGCAGAAGAGAUCCGGACACCGCUCUUUCCGCCCCCAGCCAGUGUCCAGGUACCUCGCAGCCGUACAGCUGACCCAGCUGCUCCACGAUCCAUUCUUCCAGCACCAACCGCUUACGAAGCUCCUUACGGUCGUAUUUCACUGUCACUUUUCCCUGCUGGUGGCGUCGUUGUUGCUGUUGCACUUGCCCGGCGGCGGCCACCGUAGUCACCGGCGCCGAGUCCUCCCUUGAGGAGCCGGAGCUGCUGCUGGAUCCUGGGCUGCCGCCGGUUCCACCGCGGGGACUCUGGAAGAAGACACGCGCACCGCCGCCGCCGCCGCCACCGGCCGCCUCACCGCCGCCAGUCACCACCGACAUGUCCCCGCGCGCCAGAGCCUGAGAGUGGCCCGGAGAAGGGGUGGGCGAGCGCCCCGCGCCGCUACCACAGCAGCCCCAACAGCCGCAUACGGUGGCCCGCACCUGCUCCGCGCGCCUAGACGCUGGAUCCUUGCGGAGGGAGGCGGGAAGAGGGCGGGCGAUGAGGGCGGGGACCAAAGCCUUAAAGACGCCUCCAAGGACCCUGGUGCUCCUGCCCCAGAGACCGCCCCCGGCUAGGAAGUCGUCCGAGGUGGAGAAUCUGUGCCCAGCGACAGGGCCUCGAGGGGCUGUGUAGUCCAAGGAGGAGACUGGCGUGGAUCGUCUGGGAGGCAGGAGACAGUCGGUCCUCUAAUUGGGCGUCCUCGUUUUUUGCCCUGCAGACGCGAACUGCGCUUCUCGAGCAAUCUUGGGGCGCACGAAAUAUGUCGACUCCCUCUGUCUGGAUAAGCUCUGUCCCACCGGGGUUCCAUGCCAGCAGCUCAUCGGGAGGACACCAUCAGGCCUGGAAAAGUUCAAAUGAAAGAUCAUAUAGAGGGACUUACACAAUUCGGUGUCUGAGGGCCUAUCAGAGAUAAAGGAAACAAAUUCCCUGGCGACAAAGGUCCUUCUACUCAUCAUCGACCCGACUGCCUUGUAGGGUAUGUCUAUCUGAAAUCCAAGAAGCCAUAGUCAAGAGGAUGUUUUGUCCUCGGUGGUUAAAACUCAGUUUUCACUCAAGACUCCAAAUGUGACCAAAGGAACAGAUGUCAUCCACGGGACCUUGUAGAAAAGUCUUCAGUAAGUCGAUAGGUUCUCUGCAUAGCCGACAAUCCCCUAAUGAGUCACUUGGACUUACAGUGGGAAAUGAACUGACACAGUGCUCCUCUCUCUACAUACACAUUUUUUUCCUAGCCUGUACUCAACUGACAUUGACAGUGAACUCCACUGCCCUAUCUCCCCAAGCACAGGCCUCACUCCACACAUGAAAACGAAAACCUCCCCACCCAGGACUCUACUGACACUUCAAAUGUGGCUUUGUAUACUUCCAAAAGCAAAGGUGAAGUGUACAGGAAUAAAGGAAUUUUUUCCAAACCUGAAUCAGUAUCACUGCCAGCAUGAGCACCAGCACCA